GUGCUCGUUUUGGCAGCACAUAUACUAAGACUGGAACGAUACAGAGAAGAUUAGCAUAGCUCCUGCACAAGCAUGACGUGUAAAUUUGUGAAGCAUUCCAUAUUUAU
ensembl:snRNA U6 U6 spliceosomal RNA